rnacentral:lncRNA from 1 species
UCUUACCAGCCGCGUUGAACAGACAGGAGGGUUUUGAAGAAACCAAGCAAGAACACUGCUUCCAACGUCUUAGUGUGCAUAUAGAGGUUGUGUAUGUUCUGUAAUAUAUUUUGAUGGGUAACAAAUAACAAUAUGUUUAUGAACCAACAAAAUAAAUGAGAAUAGUGUUCAAGAAAUAUAACAUAGUAGUGAGUACCACUUAUAUUCAGAUAUAGGUGAAGUCCAAACAUCUGAAUUUAACCAACUCAAAUGGAUAAGGUACGAUGAUAUUACAGCAAAUCAGAAGUUUCCUUUGAUUUCAAAAAAUAAACUGAGAUGAAAAUAAGGAACGAAUGUAAGCAUAUUAUUGAUGUGGCCGAAUUUUUUUUUGGUCAGUACACUAUACAUUUGAUUUUGUGAAAUUAUGACUAAUUUUUUUUCUCUGAAAAUUCAUUAAUAGUAGAAAUUGUGAUGAAGUAUCUGCAUCAAAUUGUCACCCAAAACAAAACGGUGGCGCGGCGUGUUUGGACAUUGCUCGAGAAUUUUGAUUAUCUGUUAGGACUUACAGUGCGUAAAGACAUACCUGCAGUGUUGAGUCGAUUGUUCCCCUGGGUUCUUAAGAUAAUAUGGAAAAACAAAAAUACUUUCGCUUUUGAAGAGAAGGUAUUUGAUGUUAGUGAUACGGUGAAUAAAAUGCAUGAGGAAGCUAGGCAAUGGUUUGAAG